GAGUUUGAUCCUGGCUCAGGAUGAACGCUGGCGGCGUGCCUAAUACAUGCAAGUCGAGCGAACGGACGAGAAGCUUGCUUCUCUGAUGUUAGCGGCGGACGGGUGAGUAACACGUGGAUAACCUACCUAUAAGACUGGGAUAACUUCGGGAAACCGGAGCUAAUACCGGAUAAUAUUUUGAACCGCAUGGUUCAAAAGUGAAAGACGGUCUUGCUGUCACUUAUAGAUGGAUCCGCGCUGCAUUAGCUAGUUGGUAAGGUAACGGCUUACCAAGGCAACGAUGCAUAGCCGACCUGAGAGGGUGAUCGGCCACACUGGAACUGAGACACGGUCCAGACUCCUACGGGAGGCAGCAGUAGGGAAUCUUCCGCAAUGGGCGAAAGCCUGACGGAGCAACGCCGCGUGAGUGAUGAAGGUCUUCGGAUCGUAAAACUCUGUUAUUAAGGAAGAACAUAUGUGUAAGUAACUGUGCACAUCUUGACGGUACCUAAUCAGAAAGCCACGGCUAACUACGUGCCAGCAGCCGCGGUAAUACGUAGGUGGCAAGCGUUAUCCGGAAUUAUUGGGCGUAAAGCGCGCGUAGGCGGUUUUUUAAGUCUGAUGUGAAAGCCCACGGCUCAACCGUGGAGGGUCAUUGGAAACUGGAAAACUUGAGUGCAGAAGAGGAAAGUGGAAUUCCAUGUGUAGCGGUGAAAUGCGCAGAGAUAUGGAGGAACACCAGUGGCGAAGGCGACUUUCUGGUCUGUAACUGACGCUGAUGUGCGAAAGCGUGGGGAUCAAACAGGAUUAGAUACCCUGGUAGUCCACGCCGUAAACGAUGAGUGCUAAGUGUUAGGGGUUUCCGCCCCUUAGUGCUGCAGCUAACGCAUUAAGCACUCCGCCUGGGGAGUACGACCGCAAGGUUGAAACUCAAAGGAAUUGACGGGGACCCGCACAAGCGGUGGAGCAUGUGGUUUAAUUCGAAGCAACGCGAAGAACCUUACCAAAUCUUGACAUCCUUUGACAACUCUAGAGAUAGAGCUUUCCCCUUCGGGGGACAAAGUGACAGGUGGUGCAUGGUUGUCGUCAGCUCGUGUCGUGAGAUGUUGGGUUAAGUCCCGCAACGAGCGCAACCCUUAAGCUUAGUUGCCAUCAUUAAGUUGGGCACUCUAAGUUGACUGCCGGUGACAAACCGGAGGAAGGUGGGGAUGACGUCAAAUCAUCAUGCCCCUUAUGAUUUGGGCUACACACGUGCUACAAUGGACAAUACAAAGGGCAGCGAAACCGUGAGGUCAAGCAAAUCCCAUAAAGUUGUUCUCAGUUCGGAUUGUAGUCUGCAACUCGACUACAUGAAGCUGGAAUCGCUAGUAAUCGUAGAUCAGCAUGCUACGGUGAAUACGUUCCCGGGUCUUGUACACACCGCCCGUCACACCACGAGAGUUUGUAACACCCGAAGCCGGUGGAGUAACCUUUUAGGAGCUAGCCGUCGAAGGUGGGACAAAUGAUUGGGGUGAAGUCGUAACAAGGUAGCCGUAUCGGAAGGUGCGGCUGGAUCACC
rnacentral:rRNA from 1 species